GCCGGGAUAGCCAAACAGUCAAGAAAGCGGGAUGCAGGCCCGUUAUUCGUCGGUUCAAAUCCGACGCUUGGCU
rnacentral:tRNA from 1 species